CAGUCGCCGCGGUAAGACGAACCGUGCGAACGUUAUUCGGAAUCACUGGGCUUAAAGCGCGUGUAGGCGGAUAGGAACGUCGGUAGUUGAAAUCCCUCGGCUCAACCGGGGAACUGGCGCCGAAACGACCUGUCUGGAGGGACGUAGGGGGACCUGGAACUUCCGGUGGAGCGGUGAAAUGCGUUGAGAUCGGAAGGAACGCCCGUGGCGAAAGCGAGGUCCUGGACGUUUUCUGACGCUGAGACGCGAAAGCUAGGGUAGCGAACGGGAUUAGAUACCCCAGUAGUCCCUGUCUCUUAUA
rnacentral:rRNA from 1 species